CUCUAGUGAUGAACUCUUCAGCUCUUUCGUCUAUUCCCUUCUCCGGAAACAAUUCUUCCUUCGGUUUCCAUUGCUUUGCUGGAAUCCAAUUGGACACAGCUACAGGCUCCCUGAAGAG
rnacentral:misc_RNA from 1 species